rnacentral:misc_RNA from 1 species
AAGUUCUGUUACUAUAACAACUACAGUCUCACUCAGCCUAGAUACUUCUGCAAGACUUGUAGAAGGUAUUGGACUGAAGGUGGUUCUCUCAGAAACAUUCCUGUCGGUGGUGGUUCCAGGAAGAAUAAGAGAUCAUCUGCUUCAUUUUCUUCUAUAUCUUCUUGCUCCUCAUCUUCAAAGAAACUUCCAGAUCUUGUUACACCUCCAAGUUUGUCUGAGACUUCUACUCAAAACCCUAAGAUCCACGAAGGCCAAGAUCUUAACCUAGCUUUCCCAUCCACUCAAGGUAUAAGAAAUUUCUCUGAAUUGAUUCAAAUACCUAGCGUUGAUGGCAAUAACAAGAACCAAAUUUCUUCUUCUUCUUCUUCGGCAUCCACUACACCUCAACUUUCAGCUUUGGAGCUGCUAACUGGAAUCUCUCCAAGGGGUUUUAAUUCUUUCAUGCCUAUGCCAGUUCAAGAUCCAAGCUCAGUUUACACAUCUGGGUUUUCUCUUCAAGAUUUCAAGCCAACCUUGAAUUUCUCUCUGGAUGGGCUUGGAAGUGGUUAUGGUAGUCUCCAGGGGGUUCAAGAGACUGGUGGAAGGCUAUUUUUUCCAUUUGAAGAUCUAAAGCAAGUCUCAAGCAC